rnacentral:rRNA from 1 species
UAAUACAGAGGGGGCAAGCGUUGUUCGGAAUUACUGGGCGUAAAGGGCGCGUAGGCGGCCAACUAAGUCAGACGUGAAAUCCCUCGGCUCAACCGGGGAACUGCGUCUGAUACUGGGUGGCUUGAAUCCGGGAGAGGGAUGCGGAAUUCCAGGUGUAGCGGUGAAAUGCGUAGAUAUCUGGAGGAACACCGGUGGCGAAGGCGGCAUCCUGGACCGGCAUUGACGCUGAGGCGCGAAAGCCAGGGGAGCAAACGGGAUUAGAUACCCCGGUAGUCCUGGCCCUAAACGAUGAAUACUUGGUGUGGCGGGUAUCGAUCCCUGCCGUGCCGAAGCUAACGCAUUAAGUAUUCCGCCUGGGGAGUACGGUCGCAAGGCUG